UCUACGGGGGGCAGCAGUGGGGAAUAUUGGACAAUGGGCGAAAGCCUGAUCCAGCCAUGCCGCGUGUGUGAAGAAGGCCUUCGGGUUGUAAAGCACUUUCAGUGGGGAAGAAAGCCUUGGGGCUAAUACCCUCGAGGAAGGACAUCACCCACAGAAGAAGCACCGGCUAACUCCGUGCCAGCAGCCGCGGUAAUACGGAGGGUGCGAGCGUUAAUCGGAAUUACUGGGCGUAAAGCGCGCGUAGGCGGUCUGAUAAGCCGGUUGUGAAAGCCCCGGGCUCAACCUGGGAACGGCAUCCGGAACUGUCAGGCUAGAGUGCAGGAGAGGAAGGUAGAAUUCCCGGUGUAGCGGUGAAAUGCGUAGAGAUCGGGAGGAAUGCCAGUGGCGAAGGCGGCCUUCUGGACUGACACUGACGCUGAGGUGCGAAAGCGUGGGUAGCAAACAGGAUUAGAUACCCUAGUAGUC
rnacentral:rRNA from 1 species